rnacentral:rRNA from 1 species
CCUACGGGUGGCUGCAGUGGGGAAUAUUGCACAAUGGGGGGAACCCUGAUGCAGCAACGCCGCGUGGGUGAAGAAGUACUUCGGUAUGUAAAGCCCUGUCAGCAGGGAAGAAAAUGACGGUACCUGACCAAGAAGCCCCGGCUAACUACGUGCCAGCAGCCGCGGUAAUACGUAGGGGGCAAGCGUUAUCCGGAUUUAUUGGGUUUAAAGGGUGCGUAGGCGGGCUGUUAAGUCAGCGGUAAAAGCCCGGGGCUCAACCCCGGCGAGCCGUUGAAACUGGCUGUCUUGAGAUGUCGAGAGGUAUGCGGAAUGCGCAGUGUAGCGGUGAAAUGCUUAGAUAUUGCGCAGAACUCCGAUUGCGAAGGCAGCAUACCGGCGGCGAUCUGACGCUGAGGCACGAAAGCGUGGGUAUCGAACAGGAUUAGAUACCCCUGUAGUC